rnacentral:rRNA from 1 species
GUCCACGCCGUAAACGAUGGGCACUAGGUGUCGGGGGUAUCCACUCCCUCGGUGCCGCCGCUAACGCAUUAAGUGUCCCGCCUGGGAAGUACGGUCGCAAGAUUAAAACUCAAAGGAAUUGACGGGGGCCCGCACAAGCGGUGGAGCAUGUGGUUCAAUUCGAUGCAACGCGAAGAACCUUACCUGGGUUUGACAUCUGGCGAAUCUCGGCGAAAGCCGAGAGUGCCCGCAAGGGAGCGCCAAGACAGGUGCUGCAUGGCUGUCGU